AAAGUACUCCCUCCGUCCCAAAAUGCUUGUCUUAGAUUUGUCUAGAUACGGAUGUAUCAAGUCACAUUUUAGUAUUAGAUACAUCCAUAUCUAGACAAAUCUAAGACAAGAAAUUUGGGACAGAGGGAGUAGUUG
rnacentral:pre_miRNA from 1 species